GGAGGACGCUGUAUGCCACGAGCUCGUCCUCACGGAGGCCGCCGUACGCCUCGUGCUUGUCCUCACGGAGGACAGGUCGACUCCGGCGGCCUUUGGCACUGUGCAGGAGAUUGAGCCGGCGGUCUACUGGCUAAGAGGUUCGGUUUCCCUAUCUCCGUCGGUAGCAUCCACACCUCCGCGUCAGGCUGGACAGGUGGACGGUAAUGUUCCUUGGCAGACAGUGGACGGUUCGGAAUGGGGAUGGAUUGAGCAACAAUAGAGUGUUUUCAUUGUCCUAGGGUGGUUUGGGCUGGAGCAUUGGAGCUCCGACGCUUGUGCCGCUGCGCCCCAAAGUUGUGAAAUGGCUUCUACUGGGGCUAGAAAAGAACAAGCAGGUCAAGUGACUGAUUUUUGUAGACAUAUGUUCAUGGGGCUAGAAGGUUAAGCCAGGAACAACCUUAGUUGGGGCAUUACUGCAUAAAUAUGAAGACAAGAAGCCACGGGGCAGCGCGGACAUGAAUCAGAAGGGGCGGCGGUGCUCCGCUUAGAGGAGUUACAGGGGAGAGGAAGGAGGCCGGCGACAGGAGGUAAGAGCAAGCGGCCUUGGUUCAUCAUGGAGAACGACUGAUGCCCAUCCGGAUCCCCUCUACCUUCUUCUUUGAUGAGAAGCUCAUCUUGCCUGGUUGGCUGGUUCGCUUGUCUUCUCCUUUCCUGCUGCAUCCCUUGCCACUUCACUCUUCAUCCCCAAGAACUUGUGCUGAUUUCUCUGAACACUGGCUGGACAUAGAUCAGUCAUAGCAAGCAGAAACAUGGCUGCAAUUGUCCAUGAAACAGUCCAGCUCCUAUCUUCUUGUUGAAGUGCUUGCACAAGAUCUGUACAUGCUCUUAUAUUGCCCCAGGUUACAUUGAUGGGUCAUCCAGGUGUAGAUUAUGGUAAUAUCAUGUGUGUUGGAUACUUUCUAGCUCUCCGUUUUUUUGUUCUUUGGGUUAUCCCCCAAAACGGCAUGCCAAUUGAAAACUGCAUUAGUUUUCUAAUAUUGGUUUUAACCUAAAUUCAAGUAUGAGCUUACAUGCAUUUGGUGCGACAGAAUUUGAUGUUGAUCCUUGUCUUGUGUUUAACCCUUUUUAAAUUUUGGAUAUAGCUCUCUGUUAGUACCUCCAGCCAUUAAAUCAUAUGUCAUAGAGCCCUCUAGAGAAUCUUUGGUAUUAGUAAGGUCACGUGUGAUGAUUUAAUAUAAGUUUCUCUGUUAGAUCCAACAUUUGAAUGUUCGUUCCUCAUGCUAAUUUCUGAACAAGCUCAAUGGUUUGAACUACAUGAUUAUUAUUUAAGAGUUAGCAUAUAACUCACUUAAUUUGAUGAAUAGUUAUUGUGCCCAACUCAAAGUGAGAUUUAUUUUAUACGUUGGGUGAAUUUAGUUACUAUGGUACUGUGAAUAUCUUUUUUCACAGACUUCGUAGGUCAUUUACGAUGAUAGGCUGCCUCAUAUGAUUCAAAUGUACUGUUCUGCUAUAAGAUAUAUGUGCUGACGUUUUUAUUUUAUUUGGCUGCUUUGCAGAUGUUGGGCUAUGACUUGUAAUGUUUGGGUU